AUUGAACGCUGGCGGCAGGCUUAACACAUGCAAGUCGAACGAGUGGCGGACGGGUGAGUAAUGUUUGGGAAUCUGGCUGAUGGAGGGGGAUAACUACGGGAAACUGUAGCUAAUACCGCGUACCAUAGGAUGAGCCCAGAUGGGAUUAGGUAGUUGGUGGGGUAAAGGCUCACCAAGGCGACGAUCUCUAGCUGGUCUGAGAGGAUGACCAGCCACACUGGGACUGAGACACGGUCCAGACUCCUACGGGAGGCAGCAGUGGGGAAUAUUGCGCAAUGGGGGCAACCCUGACGCAGCCAUGCCGCGUGAAUGAAGAAGGCCUUCGGGUUGUAAAGUUCUUUCAGCGAGGAGGCGUUACUCGCAGAAGAAGCACCGGCUAACUCCGUGCCAGCAGCCGCGGUAAUUC
rnacentral:rRNA from 1 species